rnacentral:rRNA from 1 species
UACGUAGGGUGCAAGCGUUAAUCGGAAUUACUGGGCGUAAAGCGUGCGCAGGCGGUUAUGCAAGACAGAUGUGAAAUCCCCGGGCUCAACCUGGGAACUGCAUUUGUGACUGCAUGGCUAGAGUACGGUAGAGGGGGAUGGAAUUCCGCGUGUAGCAGUGAAAUGCGUAGAUAUGCGGAGGAACACCGGUGGCGAAGGCGGCAUCCUGGACCAACACUGACGCUGAGGAGCGAAAGCCAGGGGAGCAAACGGG